ensembl:lncRNA
CUGCUCUGCUGUCUCUAGACCCCAAAAAACAGCUUAAGGAUUUUUUUGAAGGUGAAAACUCACCGGCAACUGAACCGACUGAUUAGACGCAUGAGAACACGACAUAUGGUGUCUUAGAAGCGGCUUUUGAACUCUUGGAUAUGGCGAAAUUUUUUGCGCUAGGACCCUUGGUUUUGGUCCUAUGCUUGGUCUUAUUCACAGACCCCUCACCCUCACACACUGAAGAAAAGAAAACAGCAGAAGCAGGUAAUAGUCUUUCAGCAGUUUGUGAAGGAUAGGAUAGUGAUAAGGAUGUAUGAGAUGAUGAAAAGGAGAAAUCUUAUUCAUAUCUAGUUUAAAACACAUUUGGAAAGUUUAG